UGGAAGGCCUUGUCAACGCAAUCACUGUCACUGAUGAUUAUUUAUCCAGCUUGGACGAGGCGCUCCGCUCUGCUGGCCGCCUGUGGAGUGAGUCCCUGCAUUGGAAACAAAUAUGGGUUCUAAUGUCAUGAAAACAGUACAGCCUUAUGCAAGUAGUUAUGAAGAAAACGGAGAACAAAAUGUAUACCUGUCAAUGAGUCCUGCAGAAUUCUACCCUCCAAAAUCUUAGGUGUUUUGAAUCUCAAUUAUGUAAGCGAUGGAAAAUAAUUCAUGUUUCUCACUGGAAGGCCCAAAGUUUAAAGAACAGUGAGUAACCUUUUGAAUUGUGCAUAGAUAAUUA
rnacentral:lncRNA from 1 species